AUUGAACGCUGGCGGCAGGCCUAACACAUGCAAGUCGAACGGUAACAGGAAACAGCUUGCUGUUUCGCUGACGAGUGGCGGACGGGUGAGUAAUGUCUGGGAAACUGCCUGAUGGAGAGGGAUAACUACUGGAAACGGUAGCUAAUACCGCAUAACGUCGCAAGACCAAAGAGGGGGACCUUCGGGCCUCUUGCCAUCGGAUUUGCCCAGAUGGGAUUAGCUUGUUGGUGGGGUAACGGCUCACCAAGGCGACGAUCCCUAGCUGGUCUGAGAGGAUGACCAGCCACACUGGAACUGAGACACGGUCCAGACUCCUACGGGAGGCAGCAGUGGGGAAUAUUGCACAAUGGGCGCAAGCCUGAUGCAGCCAUGCCGCGUGUAUGAAGAAGGCCUUCGGGUUGUAAAGUACUUUCAGCGGGGAGGAAGGGAGUAAAAUUAAUACCUUUGCUCAUUGACGUUACCCGCAGAAGAAGCACCGGCUAACUCCGUGCCAGCCGCCGCAGUAA
rnacentral:rRNA from 1 species